CUGAAUGGGGCAACCCACUAUAUUGAAGGUAUAGUAUCCCGCAAGGGAAGUGAACCCGGUGAACUGAAACAUCUAAGUAGCCGGAGGAAGAGAAAACAAAAGUGAUUCCGGGAGUAGUGGCGAGCGAAACCGGAUUAGCCCAAACCAGUGUUGUUUCGGCAAUACUGGGGUUGUAGGACCACGACAUUGAUUGCGUAAUGAAUUAGAACACUUUGGAAAGAGUGACCGAAGAGGGUGAUAGUCCCGUACAAGUAAAGAGCGUUAAUUAUAGUGGUAUCCUGAGUAGUGCGGGGCACGUGAAACCCUGUAUGAAUCAAGCGGGACCAGAAGUUAAGGCUAAAUACUCCGAG
rnacentral:rRNA from 1 species